rnacentral:tRNA from 1 species
UAGGGAGACCUACCCUUGAUAACUCCGAACCAAUUUGAAUUAGGAGUAUUGAGUGGUCACUCUAGGUCGUUCAGGACUUUGAGAUUAGUUUCUAGACUAUGGUUGAGGUUUAUUUCUUAGAUUUAUCCAGAGAUGGAUAAAUCAAAAGAGACUAAACACGGGCUAUUAGCUCAGGUGGUUAGAGCGCACCCCUGAUAAGGGUGAGGUCCCUGGUUCGAGUCCAGGAUGGCCCACUUGUGGGGGUUUAGCUCAGUUGGUAGAGCGCCUGCUUUGCAAGCAGGAUGUCAGCGGUUCGAGUCCGCUAACCUCCACCACGACUGACUGCACCAUUACGGGAUAAAUUCAGCACAUUGUGAGUCGCUUGAGGGAUCAAGCGAGGUCAUAAUCUGCUGGGUGAAAGCCUAGCGAAGAACCUUGAAAACUGAAUACGAGAGAAGUGUAAGGUAGUACACACAGAACAUUCAAAGUUCGUUGAGAGAAGAGUGAAUUUUAUUGGGUUUACCUAAUAAAAGAA